rnacentral:tRNA from 1 species
CGGGAUAUGGCGCAGUUUGGUAGCGCACCUCGUUCGGGACGAGGGGGUCGCAGGUUCAAAUCCUGUUAUCCCGAC